CGAUUGAAUGAAAAGGAUAUCUACUUUCCUCCAACCCUUUUUGGAGAAACAUACAUAUGUUGCAGGCAUCCAGCUAGGCCUUUCUAAAACGUAAAUCUUUACUGUUUUGCAGCCGAGAGUUGAAUCCAUUGUCUCAAAAAAAUUACUUUCAAAGCCAAAACACUCCUACUCAGCUAUUAUAGAACUACCAAAAGAAACCUUGGCAAAUGAGCUGAAAUACUCCAUGUUUACACGGGCUGUGUUAUCAAAACAAAUUCACAGAACAAAAUCAAAACAAAUUCAGAACAAAAUCAUCGUUGGCCGCGGGCGGCGGGGUAGUGGAGCAGGUUACCGCGAGCUCCGGCGAGGGCAGAAUCCAGUGAGGGCGAAGGCUUUGACGAGGGUGCCAAAUCAAGUGAGGGCUCCGGCGAGGGCAAGGACGAGUGGGAAUGGAUCCGCAAUGGGGCUGUGGCCAAAUGCGCCGGACCGAAGUAGGGGGUCCUCGACUCUGCGUUCGUGGAGGCCCCUUGGGGCUAGCGGCGUCGACGUGCAGGGCAAGGGCCGCCGGCGGCGUCGCAGGGCGGCGUCGCGGGGUUGUGGGGAGGUUGGGCACGGGAGUAGGAGGCUUCCCACGGUGCGGCGGGCGCCGGCGAGUAGGGGCUGGCGGCGCCGACGUGCAGGGCAAGGCUGGCGGCGGCGGGCGUGGGGCGUCGUCGCGGGGUCAGGGGGAGGUUGGUAGGCAGCGGCGUCGUGGGGCGGUGUCGCGGGGUUGUGGGGAGGUUGGGCACGGGAGUAGGAGGCUUCCCACGGUGCGGCGGGCGCCGGCGAGUAGGGGCUGGCGGCGCCGACGUGCAGGGCAAGGCUGGCGGCGGCGGGCGUGGGGCGUCGUCGCGGGGUCAGGGGGAGGUUGGUAGGCAGCGGCGUCGUGAGGCGGUGUCGCGAGGUCGUGGGGAGGCACGGGAUUACGGAGGC
rnacentral:lncRNA from 1 species